rnacentral:rRNA from 1 species
AGAAUCAACGCUGGCGGCGUGCCUAACACAUGCAAGUCGAACGAGAAAGGGUAGCAAUACCUGAGUACAGUGGCGCACGGGUGAGUAACACGUGACUAACCUACCCUGGAGUGGGGAAUAACUGAGGGAAACCUUAGCUAAUACCGCAUAAUACCUACGGGUCAAAGGAGCAAUUCGCUUCAGGAGGGGUCGCGGCCGAUUAGUUAGUUGGCGGGGUAAUGGCCCACCAAGACAGUGAUCGGUA